GGAUGCGAUCAUACCAUCACUAAAGCACCAGAUCCCAUCAGAACUCCGAAGCUAAGCGUGCUUGGGCGAGAGUAGUACUAGGAUGGGUGACCUCCUGGGAAGUCCUCGUGUUGCAUUCC
rnacentral:rRNA from 1 species